GCCCCGCCACCUCCAGGGCCGCCCCGCCGGGCUGAUGCGCGGAGACCGGUCGUAUGCCCCCCCGCCCCUUCCCCGCUCCUCGCCGGAGCCGCCCUCCGCCGUCACGUGCCGGGGGCGCGCACGGGGUGCACGAUGGUGGCGGCGGGGCCCGGCGACGGCGGCGGUAGCAGCAGCAGCAGCGGGUAGAAAAUGGCGGAUUUCGAGGAGCUGCGGAAUAUGGUAUCAAGUUUUCGUGUUUCUGAACUACAAGUAUUGUUGGGGUUUGCUGGACGUAAUAAAAGUGGGCGGAAACAUGACCUCCUGAUGAGAGCACUGCACUUACUGAAGAGCGGCUGCAGCCCAGCAGUUCAGAUAAAAAUCAGAGAACUCUACAGACGUAGGUACCCAAGGACGAUUGAAGGUCUUUCGGAUUUAUCGGCUAUAAAACCCGCCGUUUUCAAUCUGGACAGCAGUUCCUCUCCUGUCGAGCCUGACCUAGCUGCUGCUGGCAUUCACCCGCUCCCUUCUACUUCAGUCACACCUCAGUCUCCUUCCUCGCCUGUCAGUUCCGUGCUCCUCCAAGACACUAAGCCCCACUUCGAGAUGCAGCAGCCAUCCCCUCCGAUUCCACCUGUUCAUCCUGAUGUCCAGCUGAAGAGCCUACCUUUUUAUGAUGUACUCGAUGUGCUCAUAAAACCUACAAGUCUAGUACAGAACAGUAUUCAGAGGUUCCAAGAGAAGUUUUUUAUCUUUGCUUUAACACCUCAGCAGGUCAGAGAGAUCUGUAUUUCCAGGGACUUCUUGCCAGGGGGCAGGAGAGAUUACACGGUCCAAGUUCAGCUAAGGUUGUGCCUAGCAGAGACAAGCUGCCCUCAAGAAGAUAACUAUCCUAAUAGUUUGUGUAUUAAAGUAAAUGGGAAGCUGUUUCCAUUGCCGGGAUAUGCUCCACCGCCAAAAAAUGGGAUUGAACAGAAGCGACCUGGGCGUCCCUUGAACAUAACAUCUCUAGUUAGGCUGUCGUCAGCCGUGCCAAACCAGAUUUCCAUUUCCUGGGCUUCUGAAAUUGGAAAGAAUUACUCCAUGUCCGUGUAUCUCGUCCGUCAGCUCACUUCAGCGAUGCUUUUGCAGAGAUUAAAAAUGAAAGGCAUCAGGAACCCUGAUCAUUCCAGAGCACUAAUUAAAGAAAAACUGACUGCGGAUCCUGAUAGUGAGAUUGCCACCACCAGUCUGCGUGUGUCUCUGAUGUGUCCUCUGGGAAAAAUGAGACUGACAAUCCCAUGCCGGGCUGUUACUUGCACUCACCUGCAAUGUUUUGAUGCUGCUCUUUAUCUUCAAAUGAAUGAGAAGAAGCCCACCUGGAUCUGCCCUGUCUGUGAUAAAAAGGCAGCCUAUGAGAGCUUGAUCUUGGAUGGGCUCUUCAUGGAAAUCCUUAAUGAAUGUUCAGAUGUCGAUGAGAUUAAAUUCCAGGAAGAUGGCACCUGGUGCCCCAUGAGGCCAAAGAAAGAGGCUGUGAAAGUCUCAAGUCCACAGUGCACCAAAAUAGAAAGUUCCAGCGUUGUUAGCAAACCGUGUUCUGUGACAGUGGCCAGUGAGGCAAACAAGAAGAAAGUUGAUGUUAUUGACUUGACAAUAGAAAGCUCUUCUGACGAAGAGGAGGAUCCUCCUGCCAAAAGGAAGUGCAUUUUUAUGUCUGAAACACAAGGAAGCCCAACCAAAGGGUUUGUCAAUUUUAAAGUUAGUUGUUAUUCUGUAAUGUCUCAGAUAAACUGAUGUGUAGACAGGCGGACUUGUAAUCUCUCUUUGGGAUCCAGCUCCACACUUCCAGAGGAGAAUUUCUAGGCCUCUCCUUGUAGAAGGCUGUAUUGAUACAGUACCUUUGUACAGGUGAAACACUAUUAAAUAGUUUUACAUCUCUCAAAAGACUUGCGCUGACUGUUGCUGUGUUUGCAGGGAUAUUUCUCCAUAGAAAAGAGAGAUUCUCCUGAGAAAGCAGAUUAUGCCAAGUGGAGGAGCUUUGUGCAUUCUUGCUAAGUUAGUGUCAUCUUAAAAGCUUUUCUUUCGCUGUCUGUUACACCCUUCAAUCUGCUGUGGUGCCCAGGAAACAAGGCUGCAUUGCGUGUAUCAUCCAUCCUGUUGGUCUUGGAAGGGAGGCGCUUUGCUGUUUUGAAUUGAGACGAGUUUUUCCUCCAUCUCUCUGUAAAACUCUGGUAUGUUGUGGACACUGUUGGCUGUGGUUAUCAGUCAAUCCUGCACCUCAGUUAGCACAACCGACGACUUCAAGUCCCCUGUCAACUGAUCCAUCUCUGUAGUUGUGCCAAACUUCAGUGUCAGGUUUAACCAGCUUCUUUACUGUUGUGCUGCCUUCUGUCUUGUCCCAGUCCGUGCAACUUGGCUGCAGUUAGUUUGUGGCUUCCAACGUUCUUGCUCUUGGCCUUUUGGGUGCAGGAGACCUGCAGAGAGAGAGGGGCACUGGUUAGGCUCACCAGCAGUUGCUGCUCCAUGAGGCGAUGCUAGUCACGGCUUAGUAGUUAGUGUCGCUGCCUGCAUGAGGUGUUUGUCUGUGUCUCUCAGCAUAGUGGCUUAUGUCUUGUACUAAAAUAAUAGUAAUAAAACCCAAACCCCUUCUGUUUUGCGAGCUCUUGAAGUAAUGAGCAGGUGUGCUGUGUUUCUAGUCUGCAGGAAUGUGUGGUCUUUGGUGAGCAAAUAGCUGGUCGUCAUCAACAACUUUCAGCAGUGAUACUGACAUGCUGUUGCUUUUUGUGAGGAUUGUGGAGUAGUCCUUCUGCAAAAGACUUUCUUACUUUUGUAAGAACAAAAUAGCUACAAAUACAUCUCUUAAUGAAGUUUCAGAAGGCACCAAGACUUCCUUCCAUGCUCCUGUGUUUGAGAUGGCUACCUGCAACCAUAAUUGUAGGAGGACUGAGUUUUCUUGUCUCUCUGUGACCUAUGUAUUUUCCUUGCUGUGUGGGUAUGGAAAUGGCAUGUUUUCAUUCUUCAAAUCCAAGUCAAAGCCAGGCUUUUGGGGAAUAGCUUAUCUCCUGUGAACAGUGUUGCCUGAAUGCUGGUUUUGGCAAAACUGUGGGAUGCCUUCCUGUAGGCAGAAGCAACGUAGGCUGAAGUGUAAGAGGCGCUUGAGAAGGGAGGGUCUGAAAUCCAAGCUUCUCAAAUCAGAAGCAGCAUAAAUGUACCAGUGCAGCAGUCUGGGGAGGAGGAGGUGAGUGGGUAACACUCAUGGCUGGAGUGGAGCAGCCAGGAGUGGGACUCUGGGUGUUUCCACCUGACUUGGAGCUUAUGAAAUACUUUAUGUAUAUGGCUGAAUGCCUGUUGUGUCAACUUUAACAGUGCUGCAAUGUAAUCGGGCUGAAGGUGGGGGUGCAGAAGGGUUUUAGCUGGUUGCAUGCUCCUGGAGAGCUGAAUUUGGCUUGGGCUUAGGCUCUGAGUAAAGGUGGGUUUGGUGUUUAGCUCCCAUCUGUGCUCCAGGGGCUGAGUAACGCUCAGUCAUGCCCUUGGCGGGAUGGGAUAGCACAAAGGAAUACUCAUGGGGAAAAAUUGAAACAAGGACUCUUCUCCUGGCUCUGGCUACCUGCACAUCCCUCCAAGGGUGCUCCUCAGAUACAGAUACCCAGUUCUGUGUCCGAAUGGUAGACUGCUAUACAUGACUCCAGCACUGUACUUUGUUUUAAUGCCACCUUGCUCUUAUGUCACAGCUGCUGUUGAGAGCCAAGAUACGGUCAUGUUAUUAUGAAGACUGUUAUGAAAGAGGAAAUUAGAGUGGAAUACUGUGUAGUGAGUAGCCACACUAUAGCUGUGUUAUCACAGAGUGAUCUUGUGAGUAAGAGUGUGUGCUUUCUCCUCUGUAACUAACGGCCAGGUUGUUUGUAAUUUCCCAUGCUGUUUAAAACAGGGUGCUCAUGUACCAGCCAUCUACGGUCAGAGUGCCCAGCGUGACAACGGUCGAUGCUGCUGCUAUUCCUCCUUCAUUAACAGACUAUCCAGUACCAUUCCAUCAUCCACCAAUUUCCAAUAUUUCAUCAGAUCUGCCAGGUUUGGAUUUUCUUUCGCUUAUCCCAGUAGAUUCUCAGUCUCUCCUCAACCUUAACAAGCAGCACGCCUGGCAGCAUCAUCACAUCGACCAGUCACCACGAGAGCAGCACGCACGUUAGCUCCUCCAGCAGGAGCGAGACAGGAGUGAUAACCAGCGCUCCUGACAUCAUCUCGCUGGAUUGAGGCAAGGGGCAGCACGCUGGACUGCGGGAUGCAUUGCACAGAGCUGCUGCUGCUCGCUCUCUCUCUCUGGAACUUCAGCACCUCGCAAGUUAGUCUUGAUAUUUAUUGAAAGGAUUUGCCUUCUGGGGAAUGGAGUAAAUUCAUCUACAUUAGGAACAUAAGUGAUAGAUCUUUUUUCCUUUUUAGUUUUUCUGUUGCUCAUUGAAUAGCUGGUAUAGAAAAGGUACCUUCUGAUUAUGCUUUUACGCUUUUGGCUUGUUCUGGGGAAACUGAUGAUUUGUUGCUGGGUGGAUUUCACAAAUGUUUUUCAGUUUUGUUGUAAAACGCAGCAAUAAUGUAAAAACAAACUUUUUAAUAUAUGAAAAGGCACUUACCACUCUGUAACAACCACCGUGACCUGGACUUAGGUGCAGAAGUAUAUGUCUUAGUGAAUUUUUAGUAUUUUCACUGGGACCUGUAAUAGAUUUAAUUUCAGACAAUGAAGCUCUGUGAAAUAGCCAUGCCUUGGGUUAUAUGUCUCUUGUUCCUGGCUUCCCCCUUAACUUGGGGAUAUAGGGGAAGCCUCUGUAAAUGGGAUUUCCUUGUUUCUCCUUUCUUCCUCCUGAUUUCAUGUUUUUCAUAAAUGCAUCAAAAUCCUAAGCUGUGGCUUCUUCUCGUACUGUUCUUUGGGCUGGGGAGGGGAUAGACUAUCUAUGCAAACUCUGCUUUAUGCCACCUCUGCGCUGCAUUGUCAGAAUUGGGCCAAUUCCAAACUAUGCACCAUUGAGCUAUAGUUGAAUUUCUGGCUUGAUAAAUUUAAGAGGUGAUAGUAAAAAAAAAAAGCGCCUUUAAACUCAAAUUUAGAUUAUGAGGUCCUCGGUGUCCCUUUCUGAAGUUGCUGCCCCAUACCAGAUGACCAAAGGAAGUGCACGCUUCCUAUGGCAGCUGUAAGGAGACAAAAUAGGAAUUACUUUAUCCAGUGCAGGAAUAUUUUGUAGGAUCUCUUGCUCAUGGCUUCUGGCACUGCUGUAACUGCUAUAUGCUGUUUGGGAACACCACACUCCCACUUGCCACAGCGGAGGCUUGGCUUUUAGGAAGAUAAAAGCUGUUCAUAGAUGCACAAUAUUCCCACCUGAUUGAAACUAUGUGUUUAUGGCUCAGUGCCACUUUUUCCCACUUUACACAGUCUCCUAAUCAUGGCUUUUAUAAUUCAAUGAGAACACCUUCCUCUGUUUUACUCCUCUGCAAAUCUGCUUCUUCGCUGUGUGUCUCCCCGUGCGCCUCCCAGGAUAACCUCAGCAGUGCUGUAUGUGGAAGAGGUUACAGAUCAGGAAAACAAAGUUGUGUUCAUAGAGCUGGAAUAGUAGUAUUGUUUGUGUAGGCUGACAUAGCAGCUUUUCCAAGUGUUGUGUUUCUGCUGAGUAACCGUAUUUGAGAUUAUUCCUUCUGUAAUGGCCAGCUUUCACUUUUACAUAAUUUUGUGUUCCUGUUUUAUUUCUUUGGUUGGAUGUCUGGUGCUUUUUGCCUUCUGUUACUGUUCCAGUAUCUGAACGAAGUACAUGAAUAGGAAAUAUUGAAGCAGGAUGUAUUGUAACUCUUGUCUACCCUGUACUCCCGCCUGUAACACUGCAUUACGAUUUGUCAUUGCCUUGAUUUAUUUUUAUUUUUUUUUUUGUAUGAUCUUUCACAGCAGUCUUCAGUUGACAUGUUGUUUUCAAUAUUGCCUCCAGUUUUGAUUCUUUCCUUAUCUGCUGAAUUUUUUGUACCUGUUACGAAUCAGUUUUCAGCAUGAUCUGUUUCCAAUAAAGCCAUGCUGCUCAUGAAUUUUA